rnacentral:rRNA from 1 species
GUAGGUGGCAAGCGUUGUCCGGAAUUAUUGGGCGUAAAGCGCGCGCAGGUGGGUUCUUUAAGUCUGAUGUGAAAGCCCCCGGGCUCAACCGGGGAGGGUCAUUGGAAACUGGGGAACUUGAGUGCAGGAGAGGAAAGUGGAAUUCCACGUGUAGCGGUGAAAUGCGUAGAUAUGUGGAGGAACACCAGUGGCGAAGGCGACUUUCUGGCCUGUAACUGACACUGAGGCGCGAAAGCGUGGGGAGCAAACAGGAUUAGAUACCCUGGUAGUCCACGCCGUAAACGAUGAGUGCUAAGUGUUGGGGGGUUUCCGCCCCUCAGUGCUGCAGCUAACGCAUUAAGCACUCCGCCUAGGGAGUACGGUCGCAAGACUG